GACGAACGCUGGCGGCGUGCUUAACACAUGCAAGUCGAGCGGUAAGGCCCUUUCGGGGUACACGAGCGGCGAACGGGUGAGUAACACGUGGGUGACCUGCCCUUAGCUCUGGGAGUAAGACCUGGGAAACUAGGGUCUAAAUAACCGGAUAUGACUCCAUGACGCAUGUUGUGGGGUGGAAAGCCUUGUGCGGCUAGGGAUGGGCCUGCGGCCUAUCAGCUUGUUGGUGGGGUGAUGGCCUACCAAGGCGACGACGGGUAGCCGGCCUGA
rnacentral:rRNA from 1 species